CCGGCGGGGGGGCGGGCGUCGGCGAGCGCCAUCACCCCGCCAGGCCCCGCUGCUCUCCGCCCUGCCGCUCGGCCGAGCGCGGGGGCUGCCCCCGCCCCUGGCCGCUCCCCCGCACCUGUCGCAGGAGAGCGAGAGGCUGCGGCCCGCCUGCCUCCGCCGGGACCGGAGCUCCCCCGAGCGCUGCCCCGGCCCCGGCAUCACCUGUGCGGGCGGCAGAGCCCGAGGUGCCGUGGGGAGGCGGCCGGGAGAGGCGCAGUGAAGUUGUCCCGUCGGCCGGCCGGGACGGGAGGGUGCUGGCAGGCUGCUCCGCCCUGCUCCUUCCCCAGCUGGGCUGCUCGGGGCAACGCCGGCCCGGCGCCGGUGCAGCAGCUCGGGGAGCGCUGGGCUUGGAGCUGUCAGCUGCUGCAACGUCCCGCCGACGUGUGCUCUCCGCGCUGGGCUCUGCAGUUAUCUCUGCUGCCAGUUGUACUAGUUCCUGGGACUUUCUCCACAAUCUUAAAAGGAGGUCAGAGCUUGUGACUUUUGAGCACCAGAGCCCAGUGACAAGGGUGCUCUGCUCUUGCACACAGGGUUAAGGCAACGCAGAAAAGGCUUGUUCGCCUUGUGCAGCUCCUUUCUAGGAUCCCAGUGACAAAACUUUGUGGUGGUCUUACUUCUGUCAGAGCCAGUUCUCGCUUCCAUCCUGCAGGAAGAGAGCCAAGGAGGAUGCCAAGGACUGCAUCACUGAUUCUUGACAGCCAGGAACCUGACCAAAACUCUGGCAAAGAGAGAAGAGUGCUUUUCUGCCAUAAACUCCCGUUUGUAGUGUCAGUCUUCCAUUCCUAGAAAUCUGGAGGUGCUGUGGAGGUGAUAGGAAACCUGAGGUUGCUAGACCCGCAUGGCUCCUACUGAUAACUGCUCAAUGCCUGACAGAGUGGAAAGGACAAAAGUGAACAUUUUUGACUUUGUGAAAGCUUCUUAAAAACAUGCAUUCGUAGUGCAGCCAUGGAGGGGUUGCUUGAAGGUGAAAAGCAAAAAAAAGAAGGAGCCAAAAUGGAGGGCUUGUCUUCGACCAAGGAGAUAGCAGAGGACAGGAAGCUAAAGAGGUCUUCAAAACAGCACGUCACAUCUUGCAGUGAUCCAGGAAACCACACAACUGGCUGGGGCUGUGACUGCAGAAAUAGUUGUCAGAAACUCUGAAAGCUGCUGUUUUAUCUGCAGAUACUUCUCUUGAUGUCCUGCUGUGAGGAUGAGCUGUAAGCUUCAUAGGCCACGGAGUAAACUUUGGAGGCAGUGUGCUACAGGAGCACCCUUCAGGAGCGCCUUUGCAUGGCAGUGAAAGCAGCAGUGUGGGGGAACAGUGUUGUGGGCUGAUGUGAGUGAGCCUGUGCUGUUUGAGGCCCCCAGCCCUCCUGCCUGGCAAUGUGAGGAAAGGGUACCAUGAGCUGCUGAGUGCCUUGGUGCUUGUUACAGCACCCUGCCUGCUCGCACUGCUGAAGCACUUGGACUCAGGAAAACAAAGCUGGCAAUGAGACUUGAAGAAACUGAAGUUGGUUUGCCCUGUGCUGGUGGUCCCUAUUUUAUUGAUCUUUGUGUGUGUUACAGCCUGUUUAAUAGAUCUUCCUGAGUCCCUGGCUUGUGCUGGUGCACUGGCCUGAAGAAUGAGCUUGUCUGCUGUGCAUCCAGGUAUUCCUGAAAGUACCGGCAGGGCAAAAUGAGCCCUACACAUCAAAACACAGCCUUCCAUUCCUGCCUGGAUUGAACCUCUCAACAGCUGUUGAUUUCACUCUCAGUGCAUUUACAUCCAGUGGCUUCCCUCAAGAGGAAAAUGAAACUAAAAGUAAAACAGAACUGAAAGAAAAACUAAUAAAAGCAAAACUCAUUUUUUUAUGGCAUGAAAUAGAAAGACUGUGACCUUGCAGAGCAGAGUGCUUUGGUACACUUUGCAGACCACUUUGCCAAGUAGUUGAAAGGCUUAGGUAGGGCAUGUGUCCAAGAGGGGCACGUGAAGGUGAUUGUAUCUCUUGUAGCUGUCUGGCCCUUGCAGACACAUCCCUGCUGUCUGAGGCCCUUAACAUCUGUGGAAAAAGUUGCUUUGGCAGCCUCUGCUAUCUGUGCUUCAGUGUCCCAGCAUGCAUCACUAUGGUUUUGAAAGCUGCUUGAACAUUAUUUGUGGGGGUUUGGGUUCCUUUACAUUCUAGAUGUCCAAAGAAGGCCUUCAUCAAGUGGUAGUGGUAAUAGUGGUAGAAAUAGUAGUGGUAAAGGUAGUUUCUCCUUGAAAACACAUUGUGUUAACUGUGCUGAGCAAGUCAGGCUGUGGUAGAGAAUGCUGGGCAGACUGGAGGAUGUUAUUGCCAAUUGCUCUAAACCAUAUGUUUUAGGCAAACAUCUAAUUUAGCACAGUUUUCAGUCUCAAUGUAUAGUGAAGUGCUUCUGUCUGGGUGUGAUUUUUGUGUAUGUAGGGACAGCUGUGGAUGUCCCUGAGUGUUGGCACAGAUGUGCCUAUCCUUAGGGCUCUUGGUGGGUGUCAGCCUUUAAUAACUGUUACUUAAAGUGCCUUUUUCACAGAAAUGGGUAUCCAUUGCUACAGCUAUCAGGCUACUCAGGGAUGCUCAGCCACCAACAGAUUUGUAACCAUGGAGGCAGCCAGAGAGCAGGUAGAGUGCUGAUGGAGGUCUCCUUGGUCUGGCACUGCCAUGCCACCAUUGUGGCUGCUCUGUGGAAGUGUCCUCAGCUCUGCUGUGUGAGCAGUGCAGGUUUCUGCCAGAAAUGGUGCUAUUCCAUUCUAGGAAAAAUCAUUCCUGAAGCACUCUCUUGUCCUCAUUUUCUGCUUUGUUUUUCUUUUAUUUUGUCAUUCUCUUGAUGACUGGGGAAGGAAGGGCAAAGGAAGUUUGAUUAUUGCAAUAUCUGCAGUCAAAGUUUGUUGGUAGUACAGCUGCUGGCCUACAAAACUGCAGCUCUCCACUGCUGAAACCUCUAGAUGUGCUCAUACAAAUUGCUUUGCAUGUCUGCCCCUCAGCACCAUUGUGUGAAGUACCUAAAAUUUGAAAAUAAUGCUUAUUUAUGCUCUCUCCUUUCCUUCUGCCCCCUCAGAAAACAGAAGGGGACAUCAAAUACGUGAAAGACUUAAAAGAUGCUCUGGAUGUUGGUGCCCAGGUGUUCUCUGCAGUGAGGUCUGGCUGGCUUUCUCUGACUGUCCAGUCGUGUUUCAGGGGAGCAGCAGCACUCUUUGCAGCAGAGACUGUGGAGUACCCAGCUAAGGAAUUUCUGUGGAGAAAAAUCUGCUCCCCUUUCUGUUUUCCUUGAAUGAAAACAUAUUGGAGUGUUCACUUAAAUGUGGCUUUUAAACAUUGGUUACAUCAAAAUAAGAUGCUUGGUAUUCUUACUUGCUUUGAAGUGUAUUUUCCUGCAUAAAUGAACUCUGAGCUCAGACAAACAACCUUGUGCUGUGUCACCAGGAAAUAGCUGUCAGCAGAACUGGUUUAAAAAACAAAACAAAACCACCACAAAGCGGUCCUGGAAAAAGAGUCCUUCUCUUUGAAUAAAGCACAUAGAUUGAUUGUGCUUGUAACUGAAACUGGUUUUCAAAUUGUUUGCCUGACAUCUGCAAAUAGAUAUUCAAUCUUUU